AUUCUCAAAGUUUCAAGCCCUGAAUGUACCCAAUCUCAUCUGAUCUUGGAAGCAAAGCAGGGUUGGGCCUGGUUAGUAUUUGGAUGGGAAAAUUUAAAUCCAGUAAUAUGUGAAAA
ensembl:rRNA 5S_rRNA 5S ribosomal RNA